AGCGAACGCUGGCGGCAGGCCUAACACAUGCAAGUCGAGCGCCCAGCAAUGGGAGCGGCAGACGGGUGAGUAACGCGUGGGGAUGUGCCCAAUGGUGCGGAAUAACCCAGGGAAACUUGGAUUAAUACCGCAUGUGCCCUUCGGGGGAAAGAUUUAUCGCCAUUGGAUCAACCCGCGUCUGAUUAGCUAGUUGGUGGGGUAAAGGCUCACCAAGGCGACGAUCAGUAGCUGGUCUGAGAGGAUGAUCAGCCACACUGGGACUGAGACACGGCCCAGACUCCUACGGGAGGCAGCAGUGGGGAAUAUUGGACAAUGGGCGCAAGCCUGAUCCAGCCAAGCCGCGUGAGUGAUGAAGGCCUUAGGGUUGUAAAGCUCUUUCGCCGGUGAAGAUAAUGACGGUAACCGGAGAAGAAGCCCCGGCUAACUUCGUGCCAGCAGCCGCGGUAAAAC
rnacentral:rRNA from 1 species